rnacentral:misc_RNA from 1 species
ACAUCUCAACUCCUCACGGUUUGCCCGUGAUGAGCUUGGACUUUGGGGGUCUUGCUGGCCUGUGGGUCGGCUCCUCUCAAAUGAAUUAGCCUGCCAGUGUUUGGUGGCGUCACAGGUGUGAUAACUAUCUACACUUGUGGUUUUCUGCCAGGUAACCUCCAGCAAUGGGGGUUCACUGGAGCUCACAAAUGUCUCUCCUCGGUGAGGACAGCUCUUUGAAC